GUUGGUGAACCAGCGGAGGGAUCAUUACCGAGUUGCAAGACUCCCAACCCUUGUGAACCUACCUAAGUUGCCUCGGCACGGCGCCCCAGGGCGGGGCCUAGGCCUCCUACGGGAGGCGCCUGCCGGCGAUGGCACCAACCAAACUCUGCCUUAAAUUUCUUCUGAGUCGGUAUUAAAUAAGUCAAAACUUUCAGCAACGGAUCUCUUGGUUCUGGCAUCGAUGAAGAACGCAGCAUCUGACUGACUUCAG
rnacentral:misc_RNA from 1 species